UACGGAGGGGGCUAGCGUUGUUCGGAAUUACUGGGCGUAAAGCGCGCGUAGGCGGCUUUGUAAGUUAGAGGUGAAAGCCUGGGGCUCAACUCCAGAAUUGCCUUUAAGACUGCAUCGCUUGAACGUCGGAGAGGUGAGUGGAAUUCCGAGUGUAGAGGUGAAAUUCGUAGAUAUUCGGAAGAACACCAGUGGCGAAGGCGGCUCACUGGACGACUGUUGACGCUGAGGUGCGAAAGCGUGGGGAGCAAACAGG
rnacentral:rRNA from 1 species